ACUCUUUCUUUAAAAAAACAAAAAAACAAAACCUUUCAGCCUUGGGAGUUAAAAUUUUUCUGUUUAACACCCACUGCCACUCACAGCUGCCAAGCAGGGCGCAGGGAACAGAGCAGCAGCACAGCUAGGAGCAGAGCUCACAGAGCAGCUGCAAGUCCCUGCACAGAGCUGGGCGUGGGCGGGUCCCCUCCUCUCCCGGUUCCCUGCUUUUCCUUCCGCAGGCCCGGGCCCCACCUCCUCCACGCAGGCGGCCAAUCCCAGUCGGCUCCGGCCAGUUCCCGAGGGCAGCGGCGGACGGAGCCUGGGAGCUGCUGGAAGAGCGGGAGCUUUGUGCCCAGGGGCAGCCACUGAAGAAGAGACCAAGAUGAAUGCAGAGCCUGAGAAGAAGUUUGGCGUGGUGGUGGUGGGCGUUGGCAGAGCCGGCUCUGUGCGGAUGAGAGACUUGCGGAGCGCACAUGCUUCCUCAGCUUUCCUGAACCUGAUUGGCUUCGUGUCCAGGUGGCUCACACU